CCUACGGGUGGCAGCAGUGAGGAAUAUUGGUCAAUGGACGAGAGUCUGAACCAGCCAAGUAGCGUGAAGGAUGACUGCCCUAUGGGUUGUAAACUUCUUUUAUCUGGGAGUAAAGCGCAGCAUGUAUACUGCUUUGUAUGUACCCUAUGAACAAGCAUCGGCUAACUCCGUGCCAGCAGCCGCGGUAAUACGGAGGAUCCGAGCGUUAUCCGGAUUUAUUGGGUUUAAAGGGAGCGUAGGCGGUCGGUUAAGUCAGUUGUGAAAGUGUGGGGCUCAACCUUGGAAUUGCAGUUGAUACUGGGCGGCUUGAGUGUAGUUGAGGUAGGCGGAAUGCGUGGUGUAGCGGUGAAAUGCUUAGAGAUCACGAAGAACACCGAUUGCGAAGGCAGCUUACUGGACUGUGACUGACGCUGAGGCACGAAAGCGUGGGGAGCGAACAGGAUUAGAUACCCGUGUAGUC
rnacentral:rRNA from 1 species